AAGCGUUUGCGACCAGACCUUUUCCUGGCGGAUCAUCCGGCGUUCUUCGCCGGUGCACUUCGCCAGGUCGAGGCCAGCAUCGGUUUCCGCAGGGGGAUAAAAGCUUGGGGAACGUAGCUCCUCCGGGAGUGUUAUAGCCCCUCGCACAAUACCUUUGCGGGGACCGAGGACCGCGCUUUUGCAAGGAUGCUGGCGUAAUGGUCGUCAACGA
rnacentral:rRNA from 1 species